CCUACGGGAGGCAGCAGUGAGGAAUAUUGGACAAUGGGCGCAAGCCUGAUCCAGCCAUGCCGCGUGCAGGAAGACGGUCCUAUGGAUUGUAAACUGCUUUUAUACAGGAAGAAACACACCCUCGUGAGGGAGCUUGACGGUACUGUAAGAAUAAGGAUCGGCUAACUCCGUGCCAGCAGCCGCGGUAAUACGGAGGAUCCAAGCGUUAUCCGGAAUCAUUGGGUUUAAAGGGUCCGUAGGCGGUUUAAUAAGUCAGUGGUGAAAUCUGGUCGCUCAACGAUCAAACGGCCAUUGAUACUGUUAGACUUGAAUUAUAAGGAAGUAACUAGAAUAUGUAGUGUAGCGGUGAAAUGCUUAGAUAUUACAUGGAAUACCAAUUGCGAAGGCAGGUUACUACUUAUGGAUUGACGCUGAUGGACGAAAGCGUGGGGAGCGAACAGGAUUAGAUACCCUGGUAGUCCACGCCGUAAACGAUGGAUACUAGCUGUUCGGAGCAAAUCUGAGUGGCUAAGCGAAAGUGAUAAAGUAUCCCACCUGGGGAGUAACGUUGCAAGAAAUGAAAACUUCAAAAUUGAAUUGACGG
rnacentral:rRNA from 1 species